rnacentral:rRNA from 1 species
UGGGGAAUUUUGGACAAUGGGCGCAAGCCUGAUCCAGCCAUGCCGCGUGAGUGAAGAAGGCCUUCGGGUUGUAAAGCUCUUUCGGUGAAGACGAAACGGUCAGUGUUAAUAACACUGACUAAUGACGGUACUCACAGAAGAAGCACCGGCUAACUACGUGCCAGCAGCCGCGGUAAUACGUAGGGUGCAGGCGUUAAUCGGGAUUACUGGGCGUAAAGCGUGCGCAGGCGGUUUGCUAAGACAGGUGUGAAAUCCCCGGGCUUAACCUGGGAAUUGCGCUUGUAACUGGCAAGCUAGAGUGUGGCAGAGGGGGGUUAGAAUUCCACGUGUAGCAGUGAAAUGCGUAGAUAUGUGGAGGAAUACCGAUGGCGAAGGCAGCCCCCUGGGUUAACACUGACGCUCAUGCACGAAAGCGUGGGGAGCAAACAGGAUUAGAGACCCUAGUAG